AAAAACAUGGGAGUAUUGUAAAAACAACCAGCAAAAUCAUUGAAUUUCCAUUUGUGCCAUCUUUUUUUUUUUAUCUGGCCUCGUAUCAUCAUUGUAGUAAUAGUAAUCAUACAUAUAUGUAUGGUUUUUGAUACUGCUUCAUAGUAAUAAAUAAUAAUAAUA
rnacentral:ribozyme from 1 species